rnacentral:rRNA from 1 species
GAUGAACGCUGGCGGCGUGCCUAAUACAUGCAAGCCGAGCGAACGGACGAGAAGCUUGCUUCUCUGAUGUUAGCGGCGGACGGGUGAGUAACACGUGGAUAACCUACCUAUAAGACUUGGAUAACUUCGGGAAACCGGAGCUAAUACCGGAUAAUAUUUUGAACCGCAUGGUUCAAAAGUGAAAGACGGUCUUGCUGUCACUUAUAGAUGGAUCCGCGCUGCAUUAGCUAGUUGGUAAGGUAACGGCUUACCAAGGCAACGAUGCAUAGCCGACCUGAGAGGGUGAUCGGCCACACUGGAACUGAGACACGGUCCAGACUCCUACGGGAGGCAGCAGUAGGGAAUCUUCCGCAAUGGGCGAAAGCCUGACGGAGCAACGCCGCGUGAGUGAUGAAGGUCUUCGGAUCGUAAAACUCUGUUAUUAGGGAAGAACAUAUGUGUAAGUAACUGUGCACAUCUUGACGGUACCUAAUCAGAAAGCCACGGCUAACUACGUG